GAGCCCGAGACCCAAGCUACCCGUCCCGUGGUCAGAACCACCCUGUGACCGGACUGCGGGCGUGACGCGUGAGCCGAGCAGGUAGCUGGCGAAUCCUGGAUGGUGGGAUGUGGAGGGUGUAGAUAGAUCUGCACGUGCACGGACUCGGCAGGGAGACCCACCUGAGAGCGCUCGGGAAGGGCCUGUCCCCACUGCAGGGAACCGAGGGCGUGAGUUGGAGGUCCACCUCGUUGGACGGCUGAGAGCAGGGAGACUCAGGAUGCUGCUACUGCAGUAUUCCUCAGGAGGGUUGUGAGGGGGCCAGUCGGCAACAGGAACAGGGCGUGGGGGAAGUGGUCAGAUUCCGGGUAGAUUCCUGCCGGCAUGGGGCUGAGUGAAAGACCAUCCCAAGUGUUUAGGAAGAAUGAGUUGCUGCCCUUGGAGAUCGGAGGUUGGCAGGAGGAGGCCGUUUUGGAGAUUAGCAGUUGGACUUUGUUGGUGUCGAGUCCCAAUUGUCUGGAGAACUGCGGGCCGAGGUGACAGACACGUGCCCAUGUGAACACACAGGGAGUCCCCGUUUGGCCUCUGGGUGUCCAGGCUGCAGUGCAGUGGUGGCGAGGACCAGGGAAGGGCCUGAGAAUGGGGCUUUGUAAGGCUGUGGUUACAGAUGGGCCCUGGGGUGUCCAGUCUAAGGACCGCUGGCUGGGUGGAGGA